GACGAACGCUGGCGGCGUGCUUAACACAUGCAAGUCGAACGGCAAGGCCCUGCUUUUGUGGGGUGCUCGAGUGGCGAACGGGUGAGUAACACGUGAGUAACCUGCUCUUGACUUUGGGAUAACUUCAGGAAACUGGGGCUAAUAUCGGAUCGGAGCCCCUGCUGCAUGGUGGGGGUUGGAAAGUUUCGGCGGUUGUGGAUGGACUCGCGGCUUACCAGCUUGUUGGUGGGGUAGUGGCUUACCAAGGCUUUGACGGGUAGCCGGCCUGAGAGGGUGACCGGCCACAUGGGUACUACGAGAGGGCCCAGACUCCAACGGGGGGCAGCGGGGGGGAAUAUGGCACAAUGGUCGGAAGCGUGAUGCAGCAACGCCGCGGGCGGGAUGACGGCCUUCGGGUUGUGAACCGCUUUCGCCUGUGACGAAGCGGGUGUGACGGUAAUGAGUAAAGAAGCACCGGCUAACUACGUG
rnacentral:rRNA from 1 species